CUAUGGAAGAUAAACAAUGAGAAAUCUAAUGUGUUGUGUGUCAUCACGUGUGCGUUACAAGUAAGUAAGGUAAGGUAUUGCCUAAAUAGGAUGUUGCCGCUCCAAAUUUCUAGCCCCCAUAUUUGUAAGUGGUUAGUGGGAUGGCGAGAUCCUCGCGAGCAAUAACCGUGAUAGCAUAACAGAUGGGGGCCACAAUCUUCGAAAGGUUCCAAGUGCAAUAGAGUUCGUCACCAAAGGUGAAUAAUCUAUUUCGAGCACAUGCUCUUCUGGUUUCUCUUGCUCCGAAUUUAGAUGGACAACCUUGGCCAUAAUUCUACUGUUAUUCUAGAUCCGGCCUUUAUGCUUAUGGAUCUCAAACCGCUCCUGUCACGAGUCAUUUUUUGUCAUACCACGUGGUGAGACUAAAUUUACCAAUACAGAUGGCCCCCUCACUUGUCGGGUAGUUCUCCAAGAAAUGCCCAAAAAGUAUUUUAAAAAAUUGACAUAAGAGAAUCUGGUCUAUGAUCUCUUCUUAGUGAAGGAAGAAAUCUUAAUAAUAUUCUGCUAUUAAAGUGAUAUGACCUGUUAUUAGGAUGGCGUGUGCAGUCUUCAUUUACCAUUCGAGAUACAUGACAAUCUCUAACUAGCUUAUUUGUUGAUCACAGUCUCCAACUGAUUUUAUGACGGAAAUCUUUUCCAAAUUUGACGACUGUAAAAAAUUUUCAAGAUCUUAACCUUGCAAAUCCAACCCUGUUGAAUUAGACGAGCAUCAUUGCAGAACCCUUAAAAGAAACUUUCUCCGUUUUCCGUGAUAAAAGGGAAGAAGAUCUAGAAGCCAUUAAAUCAAGAAGAUGAAGCAUAAAAUUGAGCCUCUUGUUUCAGACAUUCUACCAAAGCAAUUAGAUUUUGAGGCGGAUGAAAAAUCAUGGAGUAAAGCAGCGGUAAAGUUUUGAAAUCUCGCAUGAACAACUUUGAUUCCCUCAUUUGUGUUGAUCAUAUCCCUUUGUCCGAAAGAAAUAUCAUUGGUACGAUCACAUUGACGUUUAUGUACCUCUAGAGAGUAAGAAUACUGCCAACCAUCGGUCUGGAUUCUCAUUUGUGUAUACCUAUCUGUUCACCCUUGGGUUCGAUCCUCCAAUCGACCCCGUAAUUUUGGACUUUUGUUGGCACUUCAAUAUUUUCUUAGCCCAAGUUGGUCCAAGUGUCUAGAUAUUAGUGGCAUAUCUCUGAUUCUUAGCGCAUUUGGCUAAGGUUGAUUUUUUCCUUCGGUAUCUUCUCCAUCUUUACACUUUGAGGCCAUUAAGGGGUAGCAUUGUCAUUGUCGUCAAUCAUGGUAAGUGAGUACUUAUGAAUACAGAAUAUGACCAUGAUAAGGGAUGGUAUGACUGAAUCAUCACUGUCCCAAAUAAAGAACUGGUCCUCUCCGAUUAUUGGCUCUUUCCAGACAAAUGGAAUAACAAGCAUAAGUAUAUUAUCUUCAUUUCGGUUAAUGUUUGUUGUCUAUUGUUUUGACUUGCGAGUUUUACAUUGCAACUGUCUUAGAAGCACCUGAAGUUUUUGGUAUUGAGUGAUCGAUCGAGAAUAUAUUGUUAUCUUCCGUGAUAGCUGAAAGGUCUUGGAGGUUUAUUUUCAAAGUUUCGGGAUGAUGGGCCGAAAUUCAUGGUAAACAUUGAUGUCAUUUGUAUUUUUGAUUCAAUGUCUCAUGUUCUCACGUCUACUCCUCCAUUUUAUGCAUCACACCUAAAAAAUCCUUUCUUAGAUGUUAAUCGAUCUUUCCCCGACCAUCGAUUCUACGCAAGAUAGAAUUUCGCAGUUAUCUGCUAUAAAAAGGAAGGGAAGCUCGUUGAAGCCAACUCUGGUGAAUGGUUUCGUUGGUUAUUUAAGGAAGAGGACAAUGUCCAGUUUCAAGAUAGGGUCUGAGAGUGUUCGAGGCACUGCACAUCUUCAAGAUAGUGAGUCUAUGUUGAUUAAAGAUGAGAAAAUAGAGUCCCCAACCAAAAAGGCAGCAAAAGGUGAAGCUUCCAUUCUGAACCCGGGGGAUGGUGUUACAAAGGGUGAUCCUAUCAGUCCGUGCGAUCUCGGGGUUUUCCAACUUGAGCCUGCAUCUUUAUUGAAGCUUUCAAUCCUGCACUUUCCCCAAGUUGACCCCUCAAUGAUGGCUAGCAGGCGUCGAGUUAUGAUUGAGGUGCCCGAAGGAAUAGAUCUUCUGAAUACCUGGGAAACAAAGCCACAUGUUCGAGAGAGUCAGUUAGACUCAUAGAGAGGAAGAGGGUGGAUGAUCAGUACGAUAUUGGACUUGUGAGUGAUGUGCUUCAUUGCACCCUUCGGGUAUGUCAGCGAUCUCCUUUUUUCCUUCUAAAUUUUGGUCUUGUCAGUGACAUUGUGUUGUAUUUGUAUUGCUGGCUAACUUGUCUUCAACCUAAAUUAUAAAGAGGCUUUUACUUCACGAGGAAAUGUUAUUGGAGAUUCAAUAGAGCAGUAAAGUCUGGUAGUCAAAGGAGGUGUUGAGAGAAGUAAAGAGUGAAAUGGAGCAGCAGAUCGCCAGGUAUGUUGAGAGAUUGAGGUUCCUCGAGACCUCGCUUUCUCAAAAUUAGGCGAGUUUGAGUCAACUUAUCGACAAAUAUGCAAAGCUCAUUAAUGAACUUAAUCGAGCUAAGGUUCUAGGGAGACACCUUAAGUAGGAUCUCGGAUCUUGAAAAGCUACUACCAAAUCUUUUAAGAAUGACGAGGAGAAGCUGUAAAAUGAACAGGAUGAUGCAAUCUCAAAUCUUGAUGGGCUAAAAGUGCAAUCUGAGCUUGCUCAGAAUAUUAUUUUCUUGAGUUCCAAGUUGUCCACAUUAGAGGCUAUCCAAGUAGGGAUCCGCGAUCUGGAGGAGGAGAUUGGGAAGCCAAGGCAAGCAGUGAAGAUGACCUACUAGGCUAUGAAUUUGUCUUCUAUCGAAGAAGGCUUUUCGAAAAGGGAUACGCUUCUAGACCUUUUAGAAAAGAAUGCCGAAGAGGAGUAUAUUGAGUCACAUCAUAACCAUUCAAUUCCUCAAAUUGUUCUAUCUCUCUCUAUUGCACCGCCUCUUGACUCGGUUCUCCGAAUUUGUAUACUCCUUCUUUCCUGUCAGGGGACCCGUAAAGUGAAGUGACCAGUGCAGUGACCAAUGUUUGGAGUUUCUAGAAGUUUUUCUCUUCUUUCUUUCUUCUUUCGUUUUGACUAGUCAGGGGCAUCAUUGAAUCACUUUCUUUCCACCGAGCCUUUUAUUAAUAAAAUGCAGUGCUUUUUUAUCUAGACUUUAGUAAUAUUUUGCUGAGAUAUUUUCAAGCAUUCAAAUACUUUAGAUAUUUCGAAAGUAUUCUUUCUAAUUUCAGAUAGUUUUUUUAAGGGAUUCUCUACCAGUACCGAAAAUAUGAUCAUAAGAAAUGAGCGUGAUGCUCAAACGUCACGGGGUUUCUUGGCCUAGGUACGUGGAAUUUUUUGACACGUGUGUUCCACGCGUAAUAUGGGCCCCUACCUUCUAGAUAAUUUCAAGAAGCCUUCUGAAAGUAGAAGGGCUCCUUAGGUGGGAAAACAAAUUGCUUUGACACCUCAAUUUUGAAUCCUUAAUAUCAAGUGUCACAUCUAUUUAAUGUAUGGGAUGAGUGGCUUAGUUUGAUUAUGCAUGAUUUCAUCAGCGGUUAUCAAGGCAAUGCUGACUUCUACUCAUAAAAAGAGUGGUGUUUGUCAUGUUUUCACUCUCUACCUUUGCUUUCUUCAAACUCUCACUUUCUCUAAUUAGUGCACAUACUUUAUUUCUUUAAUCAAUGAGGCUUUCUGAUCCCCCCUCCCCCAUCAAAUCUCUUAACCUUUAUCCAUGGAUUCCUAAAGUCAUAGCUCUUUAUAAGGGCGUCCCUCCUCCGUCUCUGUCCCUGGCACAAGGGAAAGUGCCUCCACCGUUGCUGCAGUUGAGUCGGUGGUGGUUCAAACAGUUUUGCCUCCGACAAAGAAGGGGAGGACAACCAAGAAAGUUGACUCAGAAUCCUUGCUAGAAUGGAUAAUUUUGAAUAUUGUGCCAAGGGAGUUUAGAAAGUACAACAACUGCAAGGCCAUAGAGAAGACCUACAAGACGAAAAGCGACCAAAAUUCUCCCAUGUUCGAGUUUCUGUCUCUCAUUACCUAGGACAUCCUCCCCAGGUUCGAGAGGCUUACUAGUCACUAUCCUCAUCAUUCCUUCAUCUACACGUACCCUUUUACCAUGGUGGAUGAAUGUAUUGCCAAAACAUGCAUGAAGUACAAGGCGUGCUUAGCCUAAAUCAAUCCCCAAGUGUGGAGGUUGGUUGUGUGCCUUCGUUACCUGGCUUCAAAGGCUGGUGUCCUCUUCACCUUCUAAUAUAUAAUCCACAUGUAUUCCCCCAAAGUAUAUCCUGGGGGUAUAAUUAAGAUAAAUCAUCGGGGUUCUAUGGCCUUGAUAUUCAAUUAUGGCGAUGACUACGAGCAGAGAUGGUUUGAGAGUUACUUAGUGGUACAGACCAAGUUCUGACCAAGUUCCUCUUCUCGGAUGACAAGUUCAGUUCCCGGAGAAAUGAAACCUUAAUCUUUUUGUGGUGGGUCUCAAUGGGGCUCUUGAUAUUGAGGACUGAGUGUCCAAGGUUCUGAGCAUUUCCUCAACCUACUCGAGAACCUGGAAGGCCAUUGCUACCGAACUAUGAGGAAUUCAAGCAAAAUAUCAUUGUAACAUCUUUUUUGGUUCAUCUGCUUUUCUUAUUUAUUGUAUAUUAUUUGUUUGACAUGGGCAAAUUUCUGCAUUUAUGGGUCUUGAGAAGGGUGCUCGUCCUCGAGUUCAACCUCCCACCAGCCUUCCCGCCUUAAGGGUGGAUGACUUUCAACAAAUUCGGCAACUACUUGUUGAUUCAUACCAUGAAGGUGUCGUCAACGCUCCUAUAGUGCUACCACUCUCUCGGUCCUCAAAGAGGAAGGGGUCUUCUAAAAUGAUAGUUUCAACCACCAGGGUCGAAGAGGGAACUCCCUGAGCCACUUCUUGGGCCGCUUAGAGCGGCAUUGUCGACAAACCUGGGUGCCCUGAUCUUUUCAUAGUUGACUCUGAUGAAGAGGGUUCCCAAAAUAUUGCCCUUUCUGGAGAGGAGGCAGCGAAUUUGAUCCUGGAUGAGGGACUGAAAUUUUUUGGUACACUAUCUCUUAAGGAAAAACUAUAGAGCUUUCUCGAUGCCCCGAGGCACUGUCAUCUCAAAUGAAUUCUCCUGUCCAAGCAUAUGAGGGUUCCGUUGACCUUUCUGUCAACACUAGUGUACAAUGGAUCAUUAUUUUCUCUAUGCCCAACGAGGUUGAUCUUCUCAAAGAUCCCAAAUAUGUUAUCGCCCAUAUCCACAAGUUGGUGGAUACCAAGGAGUGACAAAAGAUGGCUUCCAUGAAUUUGGAGGCGCUAGUGACCGAAUAGCUUACAAAACUACCAGGGUAAGUUUUCCCGAUUUUCUUUUGAAGGUUAUGUCUUUUUCUUUGAUUCAUCUCUUUUCUCUAUGCAGCUUAACUUGCUCACCUCGGGGUCUAUAUAAAGAGUCAGGGGGGAUACUAAUUUAGCCAAGGAGGUGGUGAGAUUCGACCGGACGCUAAGGGCCAAGAACAAAAGGUUCAAAAAGGUGGUGAAGAAGAAGAAGUUGCCUCACACCUCGAGUCCUCGCCUCCUUCAAUUAAUGCUGUUCCAGACAUACCUUCAAUAUCUAGCCCUCGAAGCCUUGCAUUGGAUUCUAAGCCUCAAGAUCCUUCUUAGGCAUUGUCUUGUAAUUUUCGAUCUUGGUCCCCCUCAUAAUCAAGAAAGAGAACUUUAUUAUGGAAAUAUUUAUUUUCUCUGUA